ACCUAAUCUUCCGCAAUGGGCGCAAGCCUGACCGACCAACGCCGCGUGGGUGAUGAAGGUCGCCGGAUCGUAAUACUCUGUUAUCAGGGAAGUACAACUGUGUAAUUCACUAUGCACUUUUUGACGGUACCGAAUCAGAAAGCCGGGGCUAAUGACGUGCCAGCAGCCGCGGUAAUACGUAGGUGGCAGCGUUAUCCGGAAUUAUUGGGCGUAAAGCGCGCGUAGGCGGUUUUUUAAGUCUGAUGUGAAAGCCCACGGCUCAACCGUGGAGGGUCAUUGGAAACUGGAAAACUUGAGUGCAGAAGAGGAAAGUGGAAUUCCAUGUGUAGCGGUGAAAUGCGCAGAGAUAUGGAGGAACACCAGUGGCGAAGGCGACUUUCUGGUCUGUAACUGACGCUGAUGUGCGAAAGCGUGGGGAUCAAACA
rnacentral:rRNA from 1 species